AUCUGGGUGGCUCAGUCAGUUAAGUGUCUGACUUCAGCUCAGGUCAUAAUCUCAUGGUUUGUGGGUUUGAGCCCCACACCAGACU
rnacentral:tRNA from 1 species